UUGUUAGCUCAGUUGGUAGAGCAGCUGACUCUUAAUCAGCGGGUCGGGGGUUCGAAACCCUCACA
rnacentral:tRNA from 2 species